CGUCUAAUGGUUAGGGCCCUCGGUUGUAGCCCGAGAGAUGUUGGUUCGAUUCCAACC
rnacentral:tRNA from 1 species